GAUGAAGAACGUAGCGAAAUGCGAUAAGUAAUGCGAAUUGCAGAAUUUCCGUGAGUCAUCGAAUCUUUGAACGCACAUUGCGCCCACUGGUAUUCCGGUGGGCAUGCCUGUUCGAGCGUCAUUAAAAUCACUCAAGCUUAGGUUUACCUAUUGCUUGGUCUUGGAGAUGGAAGCCAAUUUAUUGGAAUCCUCUUCGAAAUUCAAUGGCGAAGACCCUUGCUCUCCCAAGUGUAGUAAUAACUUAUGUCACUGAAGGAAGCGAGAAAUCUUCUGCCGUAACCCCCAUAUUUUCUAUGAUUGACCUCGGAUCAGGUAGGGAUACCCGCUGAACUUAAGCAUAUCAAUAAGCAGAGGA
rnacentral:misc_RNA from 1 species